rnacentral:rRNA from 1 species
GUCUAUGGCCAUGCCACCCUGAACAAGCCUGAUCCCAUCUGAUCUUGGAAGCUAAGCAGGGUCAGGCCUGGUUAGUACUUGGAUGGGAGAUCACCUAGGAAGACCAGGUGCUGUAGCUG